GUUAUAUGGUCAAGUGAAGAAGCGCAUACGGUGGAUGCCUUGGCAGUCAGAGGCGAUGAAAGACGUGGUAGCCUGCGAAAAGCUUCGGGGAGUCGGCAAACAGACUUUGAUCCGGAGAUGUCUGAAUGGGGGAACCCAGCCAUCAUAAGAUGGUUAUCACACACUGAAUACAUAGGUGUGUGAGGCGAACCAGGGGAACUGAAACAUCUAAGUACCCUGAGGAAAAGAAAUCAACCGAGAUUCCCUUAGUAGUGGCGAGCGAACGGGG
rnacentral:rRNA from 1 species